CUACGUGCCAGCAGCCGCGGUAAUACGUAUGUCGCAAGCGUUAUCCGGAAUUAUUGGGCAUAAAGGGCAUCUAGGCGGCCAGAUAAGUCUGGGGUGAAAACUUGCGGCUCAACCGCAAGCCUGCCCUGGAAACUAUGUGGCUAGAGUACUGGAGAGGUGGACGGAACUGCACGAGUAGAGGUGAAAUUCGUAGAUAUGUGCAGGAAUGCCGAUGAUGAAGAUAGUUCACUGGACGGUAACUGACGCUGAAGUGCGAAAGCUAGGGGAGCAAACAGGAUUAGAUACCCUGGUAGUCCUAGCUGUAAACGAUGAUUACUGGGUGUGGGCAUGAAGAGUGUCCGUGCCGAAGCUAAUGCGAUAAGUAAUCCGCCUGGGGAGUACGGCCGCAAGGCUGAAACUCAAAGGAAUUGACGGGGGCCCGCACAAGCGGAGGAACAUGUGGUUUAAUUCGAUGAUACGCGAGGAACCUUACCCGGGCUUGAAUUGCAGAGGAAGGAUUUAGAGAUA
rnacentral:rRNA from 1 species